ensembl:misc_RNA 7SK 7SK RNA
GGAUGUGAGGGCAAUCUGGCUAUGACAUUUGUCACCACAUUGAUCACCAGGGUUAAUUCAGCAGAGGUGGGUGUCCCCUUCCUCCCUUACCACCCUAUGUGUGUCCCUCUAGAAGCUGCACAAUUGAUUAAAGAGAAAAGACCUUCCCUGAAUAGAGAUGAACCAGUCUUUGGUCCAGGGCAUACAUGUAUCUGUGCUCCCUGGCUGGAACUUCUGAACAUACUCUCAAGGGCACAUAUAUUUUAGACUUUAAAUUAUUAUUAUUAUCAUUUUGCCUGUAGGGUUAUUA